GAUGAACGCUGGCGGCGUGCCUAAUACAUGCAAGUCGAGCGAACGGACGAGAAGCUUGCUUCUCUGAUGUUAGCGGCGGACGGGUGUGUAACACGUGGAUAACCUACCUAUAAGACUGGGAUAACUUCGGGAAACCGGAGCUAAUACCGGAUAAUAUUUUGAACCGCAUGGUUCAAAAGUGAAAGACGGUCUUGCUGUCACUUAUAGAUGGAUCCGCGCUGCAUUAGCUAGUUGGUAAGGUAACGGCUUACCAAGGCAACGAUGCAUAGCCGACCUGAGAGGGUGAUCGGCCACACUGGAACUGAGACACGGUCCAGACUCCUACGGGAGGCAGCAGUAGGGAAUCUUCCGCAAUGGGCGAAAGCCUGACGGAGCAACGCCGCGUGAGUGAUGAAGGUCUUCGGAUCGUAAAACUCUGUUAUUAGGGAAGAACAUAUGUGUAAGUAACUGUGCACAUCUUGACGGUACCUAAUCAGAAAGCCACGGCUAACUACGUGCCAGCAGCCGCGGUAAUACGUAGGUGGCAAGCGUUAUCCGGAAUUAUUGGGCGUAAAGCGCGCGUAGGCGGUUUUUUAAGUCUGAUGUGAAAGCCCACGGCUCAACCGUGGAGGGUCAUUGGAAACUGGAAAACUUGAGUGCAGAAGAGGAAAGUGGAAUUCCAUGUGUAGCGGUGAAAUGCGCAGAGAUAUGGAGGAACACCAGUGGCGAAGGCGACUUUCUGGUCUGUAACUGACGCUGAUGUGCGAAAGCGUGGGGAUCAAACAGGAUUAGAUACCCUGGUAGUCCACGCCGUAAACGAUGAGUGCUAAGUGUUAGGGGGUUUCCGCCCCUUAGUGCUGCAGCUAACGCAUUAAGCACUCCGCCUGGGGAGUACGACCGCAAGGUUGAAACUCAAAGGAAUUGACGGGGACCCGCACAAGCGGUGGAGCAUGUGGUUUAAUUCGAAGCAACGCGAAGAACCUUACCAAAUCUUGACAUCCUUUGACAACUCUAGAGAUAGAGCUUUCCCCUUCGGGGGACAAAGUGACAGGUGGUGCAUGGUUGUCGUCAGCUCGUGUCGUGAGAUGUUGGGUUAAGUCCCGCAACGAGCGCAACCCUUAAGCUUAGUUGCCAUCAUUAAGUUGGGCACUCUAAGUUGACUGCCGGUGACAAACCGGAGGAAGGUGGGGAUGACGUCAAAUCAUCAUGCCCCUUAUGAUUUGGGCUACACACGUGCUACAAUGGACAAUACAAAGGGCAGCGAAACCGCGAGGUCAAGCAAAUCCCAUAAAGUUGUUCUCAGUUCGGAUUGUAGUCUGCAACUCGACUACAUGAAGCUGGAAUCGCUAGUAAUCGUAGAUCAGCAUGCUACGGUGAAUACGUUCCCGGGUCU
rnacentral:rRNA from 1 species